UACGUAGGGUGCGAGCGUUGUCCGGAAUUAUUGGGCGUAAAAGGAGCUCGUAGGCGGUCUGUCGCGUCGGUCGUGAAAACUUGGGGCUUAACCCUGAGCUUGCGGUCGAUACGGGCAUGACUGGAGUUCGGCAGGGGAGACUGGAAUUCCUGGUGUAGCGGUGAAAUGCGCAGAUAUCAGGAGGAACACCGGUGGCGAAGGCAGGUUACUAUCAAUAUAUUGACGCUGAUGGACGAAAGCGUGGGGAGCGAACAGG
rnacentral:rRNA from 1 species